GAUGAACGCUGGCGGCGUGCCUAAUACAUGCAAGUCGAGCGAACGGACGAGAAGCUUGCUUCUCUGAUGUUAGCGGCGGACGGGUGAGUAACACGUGGAUAACCUACCUAUAAGACUGGGAUAACUUCGGGAAACCGGAGCUAAUACCGGAUAAUAUUUUGAACCGCAUGGUUCAAAAGUGAAAGACGGUCUUGCUGUCACUUAUAGAUGGAUCCGCGCUGCAUUAGCUAGUUGGUAAGGUAACGGCUUACCAAGGCAACGAUGCAUAGCCGACCUGAGAGAGUGAUCGGCCACACUAGAACUGAGACACGGUCCAGACUCCUACGGGAGGCAGCAGUAGGGAAUCUUCCGCAAAGGGCGAAAGCCUGACGGAGCAACGCCGCGUGAGUGAUGAAGGUCUUCGGAUCGUAAAACUCUGUUAUUAGGGAAGAACAUAUGUGUAAGUAACUGUGCACAUCUUGACGGUACCUAAUCAGAAAGCCACGGCUAACUACGUG
rnacentral:rRNA from 1 species